AAGCCACUUCGUUGAGCUAUCAUUUGUGAUAGCCAGGUCGCAUCUGAAAAAGAACUAGUCAGAUGACCUUACCCCUGGUAAGAUAAAAAAAAUAUAUAGAUGUUUCAUUAGUUGUAGUUUAUAGGCGCUGGUUGACUGCUGCUACUCGCUAACAGCACUUGCCCCAACAGCCUGAUGAAGCUAUAUUGUGUUGGGGUGGUGGGGCCUUUGUGCGGUGGCUUCCCACGCGCUCGGCUCAUCAUGACGCACGGUGCCUGGAGACCAUCUCGGUGUGAAGGGGACAGGAACGUUGGAACGAACAAACGAAGCCAAACGAGCGACGGGGAGUCGUUUGCGGCCCCCGCGCUGCGCGGCGCAAUUAGCAGUGUGAUUCGACCGUCCUUCGCGAAUAUUCGUCUGCAAGGGCGACGCUCGUCCUUGGCGGUGUAGGGGGAAAUAAAUAAAUAAACACAUGCAUGCCGUUAUAUGAACACAAAUUUUAUUAGAAACGUCUCAUCGGGACCCCCGCAUUGUGUGGACGUUAAGUCAAUGUCUUAUUUGAUAAGUAGCGAUGUUUUGGGCAAUGUCCCUUUUUCAGAGCGUGAUAUUAUAUAUAGAUGCCGGAGAGAUAGAGUGGCCAAUGAGGGUUCGGGAAGGCACUAAUAAUACACACCAUGGCGCCUGAUGAGAAUUGCAUUCGAUUUUUUUUUUCUCAUUAACAUUUUUUUCCGAUGUUAUAUGAAUAGUUAUCGAAUCUUAAUAUUUCGUUUUGUUCCUUUCUCAGUCAGCUUGUCCUGGUGAGGGUCACGGCGGCAGCAUGUUGAGUAGGGUGGUCCAGACCUCCCUGUCCCUGGCGACAGACUCCAGCUCUUGGGCAUUCCCAGGCCAGCCGAGCGACAUCGUCCCGCCAGCGUGUCCUGGACCGGGCCCUGGGAUCUUCGCCCAAUGGGAUGCGCUGCCCGCUGUGAUAGGCUGAUUCAACUAUGUGAAGAGACUGCCGCCCUCAGAUGAAGUUGCCUGGUCACUUUGCGCUGGCUAAGCCCGGUUGCAAUUCCUCAUGGACGACUCUCUACCCCGACAGCGCCGGCAGCGUGAGCAUGGCGUGCUCGCAGAGCGGAGCUGCGAGCGUCGUUGGCGGGCGAGGAGGAGGAUGUUUGUGAGAUGCGCACGCCGCUGCAGCUAAUUAGAACCACAGCGGGGGCAGCCAACCGGGUCCCGAUGAUUCACCGUUCACACUCGAUGCUCGCGUGCAGAAUCGUGCACAUGAAAACUGGUAUUUUUAGUUAUUGUUGCUAAUGAAUCGGUGCUCGCCGAUUCGCAACAGCCGCUCGCUCGCCCGCCCGCCCGCCCGCCGGCAGUCAGUCACCUCCUCGUCAGUCUGCUAUCGCUAUUACCCGCCACGGUUGCCGUGUCCCGUGAUCGACUAUAGUCGGGUGCCUCCUCCUGCAUCACGCGUGUGUCGAGGACCCGGGUCGACCAGACACUGACUCGUCAUCUACAACACACCCGUUCAAUCAGCGAUUCACUCACCCAACCCACUCGCCAACUCACAAGCCCACUCACUCACCAGCACAUAAUGAUCCCCCGUGUGAACUUAACUGACUGUUGAGGCAAGUGCUGUUAGCGAGUAGCACCUACGAAGGCCGGCACAGCACACUGUUAUAGGGGGUGGAUGGCCAACACCACGCCCGGCCGUCUUUGUCUCCUGAGUGGCGAUGUUUGCACACCGUACCAGGUACUCGUUUGAGGCUGAGUUGACCUAGGGGAGGCCCAGUACCCGUUCAGAUGAUAGUCGCUAGUGUUGGCCGGGAGCAGGAAACGAACCCGGAUCAUCGGGUUCGUAGCGCCAGCGUUCUAACCGCUUCACUUCCGCUCCCCACUCACCCACUCACCCUCUCACCCUCUCACCCACUCACCCUCUCACCCUCUCACCCUCUCGCCCACCCACUCACCACAGUGCAGCUCACCUCACUUCUCUCUCUCCGCUACUCCCCUCGCACCAAUGCUCCACUUUGCAAUUCAUUCCUCCCAUCAUCGUCUCCUUUCCCCCAAGCUCUUUAUAACAACAGUAAUAACAAUAACGUUGCCCGAGAUAUAAAAAAACGACACUCUUCAUCUGUUACAACUGUGACGGUAGUGCUGAUUGUUGCUGGCCUCUUUGGGCUCCUGCGCUCAGUGACCACCGUGCGGACAAACAGAGGGACGAUGAUCACCUGGCCGUCUAACCGAUGUUUUAAAACUCAAAGCUCAGCUAUUUUAAUUUCAUCACAUAAGGCCCACUGAGCUAUAAAUAACUCUUUUUUCAGAAGCAAUCUUGCCACAAAUGAAAGCUCAACGAAGUGGCUUAUCACGUGGAAAUGUAAAGCAGCCAAAUACCCUGAA